AGUGAACGCUGGCGGUAGGCCUAACACAUGCAAGUCGAACGGCAGCACAGUAAGAGCUUGCUCUUACGGGUGGCGAGUGGCGGACGGGUGAGGAAUACAUCGGAAUCUACUUUUUCGUGGGGGAUAACGUAGGGAAACUUACGCUAAUACCGCAUACGACCUACGGGUGAAGGCAGGGGAUCUUCGGACCUUGCGCGAUUGAAUGAGCCGAUGUCGGAUUAGCUAGUUGGCGGGGUAAAGGCCCACCAAGGCGACGAUCCGUAGCUGGUCUGAGAGGAUGAUCAGCCACACUGGAACUGAGACACGGUCCAGACGCCUACGGGAGGCAGCAGUGGGAAUAUUGGACAAUGGGCGCAAGCCUGAUCCAGCCAUACCGCGUGGGUGAAGAAGGCCUUCGGGUUGUAAAGCCCUUUUGUUGGGAAAGAAAAGCAGCAGGUUAAUACCCCGCUGUUCUGACGGUACCCAAAGAAUAAGCACCGGCUAACUUCGUG
rnacentral:rRNA from 1 species